CUGAGGGCUCCAACAGUGACAUGU
rnacentral:piRNA from 1 species